rnacentral:rRNA from 1 species
CCUACGGGUGGCAGCAGUGAGGAAUAUUGGUCAAUGGGCGAGAGCCUGAACCAGCCAAGUCGCGUGAGGGAGUACUGCCCUAUGGGUUGUAAACCUCUUUUGUCGGGGAGCAAAAGCCGGACGUGUCCGGCUGUGAGAGUACCCGAAGACAAAGCAUCGGCUAACUCCGUGCCAGCAGCCGCGGUAAUACGGAGGAUGCGAGCGUUAUCCGGAUUUAUUGGGUUUAAAGGGUGCGCAGGCGGAUUUUUAAGUCAGCGGUAAAAUCGUGGGGCUCAACCCCAUCCAGCCGUUGAAACUGGGGAUCUAGAGUGUGCGAGAGGUAUGUGGAAUGCGUGGUGUAGCGGUGAAAUGCAUAGAUAUCACGCAGAACCCCGAUUGCGAAGGCAGCAUACCGGUGCACAACUGACGCUCAGGCACGAAAGCGUGGGUAUCGAACAGGAUUAGAUACCCGUGUAGUC